UACGUAGGUGGCGAGCGUUAUCCGGAAUUAUUGGGCGUAAAGGGUGCGUAGGCGGCCUGUCAAGUCUGUGGUGAAAUCGUGGGGCUCAACCCCAUCAAGCCACAGAAACUGGCAGGCUGGAGAGCAGUAGAGGCAAGUGGAAUUCCAUGUGUAGCGGUGAAAUGCGUUGAUAUCAUGAGGAACACCGGCGGCGAAGGCGGCUCUCUGGAAUCUUGCUGACGCUGAGGCGCGAAAGCCGGGGGAGCAAACAGGA
rnacentral:rRNA from 1 species